rnacentral:rRNA from 1 species
CGGGUGAGUAACACGUGAACAACCUGUCCCUACGUUCCGGAUAAUUGACCGAAAGGUCUUGUAAUACGGGGGAGGGUCCCGGUGGGGCAUCUUACUGGGAAGGAACGUGGCGGAGUAAUCCGUUGCGGUGCGGGGAGGGGUUCGCGGAUUAUCAGCUUGUUGGUGAGGUAAUGGCUCACCAAGGCGACGACGAUUAGCUGGUCUGAGAGGAUGGUCAGCCACAUUGGGACUGAGAUACGGCCCAG